GUAACAACAGGUAGCCUCAAUAUUAACAGAGGGUACUGUAGGUAGGGGUAAGGUAACAACAGGUAGUCUCAAUAUUAACAGAGGGUACUGUAGGUAGGGGUAAGGUAACAACAGGUAGUCUCAAUAUUAACAGAGGGUACUGUAGGUAGGGGUAAGGUAACAACAGGUAGUCUCAAUAUUAACAGAGGGUACUGUAGGUAGGGGUAAGGUAACAACAGGUAGUCUCAAUAUUAACAGAGGGUACUGUAGGUAGGGGUAAGGUAACAACAGGUAGUCUCAAUAUUAACAGAGGGUACUGUAGGUAGGGGUAAGGUAACAACAGGUAGUCUCAAUAUUAACAGAGGGUACUGUAGGUAGGGGCAAGGUACAACAGGUAGUCUCAAUAUUAACAGAGGGUACUGUAGGUAGGGGUAAGGUAACAACAGGUAGUCUCAAUAUUAACAGAGGGUACUGUAGGUAUGGGUAAGGUAGAGGCAGGUAGCCUCAAUAUUAACAGAGGGUCCUGUAGGUAGGGGUAAGGUAGAGGCAGGUAGCCUUGAG
rnacentral:lncRNA from 1 species